UACGUAGGGUGCGAGCGUUGUCCGGAAUUAUUGGGCGUAAAGGGCUCGUAGGCGGUCUGUCGCGUCGGGAGUGAAAACUCAGGGCUUAACCCUGAGCCUGCUUCCGAUACGGGCAGACUAGAGGUAUGCAGGGGAGAACGGAAUUCCUGGUGUAGCGGUGGAAUGCGCAGAUAUCAGGAGGAACACCGGCGGCGAAGGCGGUUCUCUGGGCAUUACCUGACGCUGAGGAGCGAAAGUGUGGGGAGCGAACAGG
rnacentral:rRNA from 1 species